rnacentral:tRNA from 3 species
GGCCCCGUAGUUCAAGGGAUAGAAUAGCUGGUUCCUAACCCGUAGAUGCAGGUUCGAGUCCUGCCGGGGCCACCA